UACAGGGGGUGCAAACGUUGCUCGGAAUCAUUGGGCGUAAAGCGUGCGCAGGCGGUCUGCUAAGACAGGUGUGAAAUCCCCGGGCUUAACCUGGGAACUGCGCUUGUUACUGGCAGGCUGGAGACUGGUAGAGGCUAGCGGAAUUCCUGGUGUAGCGGUGGAAUGCGUAGAUAUCAGGAGGAACACCCGUAGCGAAGGCGGCACUCUGGGCCGGAACUGACGCUGAGGAGCGAAAGCGUGGGGAGCGAACAGG
rnacentral:rRNA from 1 species